UACGAGAGGCCCAAACGUUAUUCGGAAUUACUGGGCUUAAAGAGUUCGUAGGCGGCGCAGAAAGUAGGGUGUGAAAGCCCUCGGCUCAACCGAGGAAUUGCGCUCUAAACUACUGUGCUUGAGGAACCUAGAGGUGAGCAGAACUGAUGGUGGAGCGGUGAAAUGCGUUGAUAUCAUCAGGAAUACCGGAGGCGAAGGCGGCUCACUGGGGGUUUUCUGACGCUGAGGAACGAAAGCCAGGGAGCGAACGGG
rnacentral:rRNA from 1 species